UACGGAGGGAGCUAGCGUUGUUCGGAAUUACUGGGCGUAAAGCGCACGUAGGCGGCGAUUCAAGUCAGAGGUGAAAGCCCGGGGGCUCAACCCCGGAACUGCCUUUGAAACUAGAUUGCUAGAAUCCUGGAGAGGUUAGUGGAAUUCCGAGUGUAGAGGUGAAAUUCGUAGAUAUUCGCAAGAACACCAGUGGCGAAGGCGGCUCACUGGCCCGGAACUGACGCUGAGGUGCGAAAGCGUGGGGAGCGAACAGG
rnacentral:rRNA from 1 species